rnacentral:rRNA from 1 species
GUCUAAGGCCACACCACCCUGAACGCUUCCCAUCUCUUCUGAUCUCCGAAGCUAAGCAGCUUCCGUCCUGGUUAGUACUUGCAUGGGAGACCGCCUGGGAAUACCGGGUGCCGGAGGCU